rnacentral:rRNA from 1 species
AGUGAACGCUGGCGGUAGGCCUAGCACAUGCCAGUCGAACGGCGGCACAGUAAGAGCUUGCUCUUACGGGUGGCGAGUGGCGGACGGGUGAGGAAUACAUCGGAAUCUACUUUUUCGUGGGGGAUAACGUAGGGAAACUUACGCUAAUACCGCAUACGACCUACGGGUGAAAGCAGGGGAUCUUCGGACCUUGCGCGAUUGAAUGAGCCGAUGUCGGAUUAGCUAGUUGGCGGGGUAAAGGCCCACCAAGGCGACGAUCCGUAGCUGGUCUGAGAGGAUGAUCAGCCACACUGGAACUGAGACACGGUCCAGACUCCUACGGGAGGCAGCAGUGGGGAAUAUUGGACAAUGGGCGCAAGCCUGAUCCAGCCAUACCGCGUGGGUGAAGAAGGCCUUCGGGUUGUAAAGCCCUUUUGUUGGGAAAGAAAAGCAGCAGGUUAAUACCCCGCUGUUCUGACGGUACCCAAAGAAUAAGCACCGGCUAACUUCGUG